rfam:Ovis aries breed Texel chromosome 3, whole genome shotgun sequence.
UUCCUGGUGGCUCAGGUGGUAAAGAAUCUGCCUGCCAAGCAGGAGACCCAGGUUUGAUCCCUGGGUUGGGAA